rnacentral:tRNA from 2 species
UUGUAAGCCAUAAAUGAAAGCCAUUUUCUAAGGGUAU